rnacentral:lncRNA from 1 species
AAGCUAAGAAGCAAACUUGGACCUCUAGAACAAAUUUCGCGAGACCUUUAUUACAGGGCCUCAGCAACCGGAUGAUACCGCGAGAGAGGACGCCUGACGUAAUUAAAGUGCGCGAACGGAAGUGGCGCGGAACAUGACGGAAAAUCAGUACGGUUGGUCCCUUAAGGACCAGCGGGAAAGAUAAAAGCUGGGGUUUAGUCUGUGCUGCGUGAAAUAUGUCUUGGCCUCACUUCCUGUCCUCUGAGCUGCCUGCAGCCGGGCGAGGUGGUGUUGAACUGUGUUUUUUGUGACGAAGCUUACUUUUAAGUUUCAUCCCUAAACUAAGUUGACCUGUUUCUUUAAGACGGCUUGCAAAAUGUGUUUUCCUCAAUGUGGGAUAUGGAAAGAAGCAGUUGCUCCUGUUAUUUUGAGCUAGUACCUGACGCUAUGAGAAAUUCUAAAAGAGCGAAUCAGAUCAUGCAACAUGAAUAACUAUGGAGGCUGAGUGAUCAAGAACAGAAGUUAAUAUUUUGGUGUUACAAACUUUCCACGGAUUAGGUGAAUAAGAUAUUUAUAAUUUGGUGUGUUCAUCUCAAGUUAUGGAUUACGAGUGCGGGGCACUAGUGCUUUAGAUUGGUAAAUGAAUCAUCAACAGUCGCCUUGAAAAUCGAAUAUUUUUGUCACCAUUUUCAGGACAUGAGAAAACACGCUGAGAGUUUAAAGCAAUUAUGGUCCUCACAAACUAGAUCAUUCUGUCCCCAAGAUGUUUUUGCCCCCUGUGGAGGUGUUAUUGCCUCCAUUGAGAAUGCAUGUACUAGCAGUUUCAUUUUUCACAUGACACAUCACAAAGUACAACCGAGAGCAUCUCUUGGUAGCCAUCUCAGAAGAGCAGUUAAACAUUCUUUUUCAAAAGCCCUUGUGUACUCCUACUUCCAUAAAAAAACUAUAAAACAGCCUCAGGCAGGUCCUUCAGGAGGUAUUCCAGAAGAAGGCAUUGUUAUCAUAAGA